UUUGAUCACCACAUUCAUCCUCGAACUUCUCUCUCUAAAAACCCACGAAUUAUAUAUGUAUAUCAGUCCCAUAAUAAAGCCCCAUGAAUUCCAUAACAGAUCUAGAAGCCCAGAAUCAUGAAUCAAAGCAUGAAGGUAUAAACCCUAGAAUUUAAAAUUUUUAUGAUCUGCAUGUUUGAUGUUAGGAUUGAGUGUUAAAAUAUGUUGUUUAAGGUGUAUAAUGAUGAUCUGGGUUGCUAGAUGUUAGAUCCAUAACAUCUAGAGGCUCAGAUUUGAAGAUUUUAAGAAUCUAGAAAUUUUUGUUUUUGUAUCUGACAGUCAAAUGUCAGUCCUCAUAGAUCUUUGUAUGUUAUGUGUUUUUGUUGUUUAAAGGUUUAAUCUUGUCGUAUGCUAUGAGCUCUUUAAUCUAGAACUUGAUUCAGAGUUAGAUCUGCUGUAGAUUGUAAGUUAUUCAUGGUCAAAGGUCGUUGACCGACCAUGACUUUCUAAAAUCUGGGUAACCCAGAAAGUUUUUAGCAGCGUCUGACAACUUUUUCUAAUGCCUUGAUCUGUCAGAUUAUAUGUGUAUUGUUAAUGUUGUUGUGAUGAGAUUUUAGUGUGAUGUCUGGACUAUAGAUCCAUGAUUUAAUAUGUCUUAUAUCGUAAGCCAGAUUGAUGUAUUAGAAGGUCAAACUGGGCAAAACGAUCACGAGGACGGGUUUCUGGAAUUUCCAGAAACCGUAAUAGCAUUGUUUCUGACAAUGUUUGACUUACUUAUAUCUUGUGAUUUUGUUGUUAUUAGAAUGAUCUGAUGAUACGAAGUUGUUCCUUGACAUGUAUACUUCCAUUAUGAACCUUUAGAUCAUACAAACAAUCCUUAGAAUCAAUGUUACGGAGCCUCAAAAGUGGUAGCAUGAACUGUUCUUCAAUUCUAGAAAACCCAGAAAUUGAAGAACAGCGUCUGACAGUUUUUCCAGGGCUUGGAUCUUACUUAUGUUAUGAUGUUUGGCCAUGUUUGUUAUUGAAUAGUGUAGUCUUGUUCGUAUACUACAAGAUCUGACCAAGAUCAAGCCCAGAAACCUCUUAGAUUAAAAGUAAUUCAUGGACAAUGUAGGCACCUCUAUCACUGACCGUCAGUGUUCUUGAGCCUCAAGAACACCAACAGCGACAGAAAGCGUCGCUAAAAGCUACAGCGACGGUUUUAAAUUUUUUUUAUUUUUUGAAUUUCCGAAAAAUGAUUAAAAAUAGGAAAUAAAUUCUACAAUUUACAAAAAUGGUUUUAAAAAUUAUUUUAAAUUAUGAAAAAUAACUUUUUAUUAUUCGAGAUAUUUUUCAUUAAUAUUUAUAAUUAUUUGAAUAUUAAUGAUAUUUAAUUUAUUUAAUUAGUGUAUUAAAUAAAUUAGAGAAAAAUAAUUUUAAUGUUAUAAAAAUUAUUUUAAAUAAGAAUAAAGUGUUUUAAAAUAUUUUUAAGUUAUAAAUGUCACUUUUAAUAUUUUGUGAUAAAAUUUUAUUAAUAAAUUAAUAUUAAUGAUAAAUAAGUUAUUUAAUAAAUGUAUUAAAUACAUUAUGGAAAAUAGAAUUAAUAAUUUAAAAAUUAUAGAAAAAUGAUUUAAAGGUUAUAAAAAUAUUUUAAGUUAUAAAAUAUAACUUUUGAUAUUUUGUCAUGAAAAAUAUUAAUAUUUUAAUAUUAAUGAUGUUAGAUUUAUUUAAUAAUUAUAUUAAAUAAAUUAGUUUAAAAUUGAUGUUAAUAUUAGAAAAAUUAUUUUUGAUAAUAAAUUGUUUAAAGAUAUUUUAAGUUAUAAAAGAUAACUUUUAAUAUUUAAAGGAUAAUUUCAUUAAUAAUUUAAUAUUAAUGAUAUUAAUUUAAUAAUAAAUGAUAUUAAGUUUAUUUAAUAAUUAUAUUAAAUAAAUAGUUUUAAAAUGGUUUUAUUUAUUUAAAAAUCAUUUAAAAAGGAUAUAAAUGAAUUAAAAAUGUUUUAAGUUAUAAUUAAGGACUUUUAAUAUUUUGAUAAAUAAUACAUUAAUACUUUAAUAUUAAUGAUAAUUAUUUAAAAAUGAUUUUAAUUCUUUUAAAAAUCAUUUAAGUGUAAUAUUAAUACUUUAAAAGUAUUUUUAGUUAUUAUAAAUAACUUUAACCUUUUGGCAAUGGUUUCAUUAAUCGAUUAAUAUUAAUUAAAUAUUAAUGAUAAUAGAAUUAUUCAAUAUUUAAAUCAUUUAAUAAUGAUUCCGGUGUUUGUAAAUUCAUGAUAAAUUAUGAUAAAUAAUUAAAAAUUAUUAUAAGUCAUUUAAAAAUAAUAUGACUGAUAUUUAUAGAUAUUGAGUUACAGAAUAGAGUCUUCGACUCGAUAAUUACCCGAUAAAGCUGUCGAUACACCGACAUGUUUCAGAAAUUGAUCUGGACUUAGAUAUUUUGACUGUAUAUGUGUUUAUUUGUGAUUCAAUGGUUGUGGAAUAUAUGUGACAAUGUGAUUAGGUUAUGUGCUUACUGCAAUAAGCAAUGCUAUGUGUUAUAGUAUGUUGUUCUAAUCGAACGAAUGAUCUUAUUACUGAUAGGUGUUAUAUAAGGAUAGAACUAAGUACAAACUGUAAGCAGCGCAUCAGGCAAGUAUCUAACCUUUGCAUUUUCUUUAUGCAAUGGACAUGAGUAAGAAUGCUUCUAAACUAUAUUAUUACUGUACAGAUUAUUAACCUUAUAUUAUAUACACCCAUUGAUUAUCAACAUGUUAGUAUAUGGUAACUCAGAUAUAUAUAUUAUGUUCGUUAAUUUCUAGAAAUGGUUAAAUAAGUGUCCCAACUUGGAUAAUCAUUGUAUGUAAUCACAUGUUGAUAUACCUUUGUCAAUUACCCGUAUACAUAUAUGUUGAAUUAUAGAUUAUUGUUGAACAAGAUAAAACCUUUGAUUUGGAAACUAGACAAGUAUGAAUAUCCCUACACGGGAAAACUUUUAUGCGCCCAAGGUGGACAGAGUGAACGAUCCUAUCGUUCUUGUAAUGUAGUAUUGAUCAAUACAGGGCCCAUGGGAAGUACAACCUAACGCCCGUAAGUUAUGACGGUUUACAGAUGAAUUUCUGUUUAACCUUUUCAAAAAUGAAAACAAUGUUCAUAGCAUGUCACCAUAACCCUAGUUAUAGUCAAUAUGUAGUUUCAAAAAUUUGAAAGAGAGAGUGUUAUGUUAUUAUUAUCGGUUCAGAAUACUUCAUAACUAUUGACUUAUUGUAGAAGAAUAGUACAAAGAAAAUAUUUAAAUUCUUUCAGCUUAUAUAUAUAUAUAUAUAUAUAUAUAUAAUUACUAUUACAUGCUGGGCACUCAAAUGCUCAUCCUUGCUUAAUUUAAAUGUUGUCAGCUAGGCAUGAACAACUCGAAGGUUCAGGCAAGAACAAGUGAAAAGGAAAGCAAACAGAACAAGUUUAUUAAUGGUAUCUUUUGUAAUAGUUAGACAAUAUAUAGACAACGAUAUGUAUUAUAUAUCAUGUAAAGAAUUAUAGUAAAGGUUGCGUAAUUGGGAUUAGACUCUGAUAAAUGCAAGAUAAGUUUGAUAUUUAUAUUAUUAUUAGUAUUAUUCCGCUCAUAGAAAUGGUAUCGUGAAGAACCGAGUUCGAUUUUCAAGUACCCGAGUUUGGGGUCUUUACAAGUUGGUAUCAGAGCUUAGGGUUAAAAACCUUAGGUGGGUAAAACCUUAGGCUAUAACCUUGGAAAAGAGGGAAACGUUAAAAAUUUAAAUAACUCAUAUAGAGUUUAAAAAGGAGAUGAAUUGAAUAAGUUCAUCGUCAAAUCAAAUAAAAGAUAACUUGUAUAAAACUAUUAUUUGUUAGUUGAUAAUCAGGAUAACUUAAGUGUGUAUAUGUCAGAUAGAAAAGGAUUAAGAUACCCUCAAAUCAUAAAGAAGAAGUCAAUCUCCAUAACCGAGCCAAUAUCGAAGCCAAUAGCUGAAAUAGAGGCUCACAUUGAAAGCUACCUCAAAGAGGUGGUUAUUUUGAAAAGUAUAGUACCAGACCCUGAAACGAUAGUAUAGCAGAUAGGUAAGAUAUAGUUAAAGAAUAUGUGGUCAAUGUCGAGUUCUUAAACUCGUAUGUUUGUGGUGAGUUCUUAAACUCAUAAUAUAUGAUAAGUUGGACGAACUAGGUGUAGUUAGGUGUGAAUAGAUUAUUGAGGAUAAUGGGAAGAGACAGAUUACUAAGCAACUGAUCCUUAGUGGAGGCGUAAGAAAUAAGUAGUACUAAUAUUAAUAUGUAUGAUUCUAUGUUGUGUAUAUGAUAGGUAUGUCUGUAUAAGGUAAUAUUCUUAAUUUUAUAUAAGUUGUGGCAGCGAUUCCCGACUUUUGAGUCACAAAGGGAUAGCGAAUGUUUAAAGCAGUAUGUGCUUUGGUAUGUCAAGUGUUAUGAAUAUGAGUCUAUGAUGGAUUAAUGAAAUAAGUUGGUAUAAAGAUAGUAGUUAAUUAUAUGAGUACUGGAUAAUGCAGAAAAUAAAAUUUUCAAAAUAUCUAAUAUUUUGAGUACAUGAUUAAUGGAAUAGAAAGUUUUAUGUUAUAUGAUUAUACGUAUACAAUAAGGCUUAGAAUAAAGAAUAAAUUGUGAUAAUGUCGCCAAGACGAAAAUGAAGUACACGGACAGAAGAACCUGUCAACAAAGCUGGAAGACAACCAGACCCGAUACAGAAUUUUGCGAAUGUGGACGAUCAAGCUAUGCAGAACGGAAUACCAGUCGCGGGAAGAUCAGUCAGAUAAUCGAUAGACGAACGUCAAAGACUUCAAGGCCAUCGUACUUCCAAGAUUUAGAGGGCCAACUGACCCUAUAGCAACGUUUGUGAUAGCUAGGAUAACUAAGGGGCAAAAGAUAGCUUUGUCACACAUACGGUAAAAAAGGAAAGGAGAUAUAUAAAGGGAAAGUCUGUGUGUUUUAAGUGUGAAUCAAUGGAGUAUAAGAUAAAAGAUUGUUCAAGAAGGAGAAAGGAGGCAAGGAAUACGAAUACGGGAAAAGGCAGCAGGACAUUGGUGAUAACGGGACCGACUUUAACAAACAAAUCAACAAAAUCAACCGCAAGCGUCUUCAAUAUGACCAUUCAAGAAACUGUAGCAGCCGGGGAUGCAACUCCAGGUAUUACUCCAACCAAUUUUAUUUCUUAUAUAUUAUUUUCUUAUAUAUAGUAAAUUAUUUUAUAAAUUAUUUUGAAGGAGGAAAUUGAGUUCUAUUAGAAAUCAAUUCUACGUAUAAGCAGAUAGAUAAACUUUAUGCUGAAUAGUUAAAGAUCAGUUCGAUCAAUUUUGAUCAAGAUCUAAUUGCAAUGAUUGUGUAUGCUAUGUACACUGGUAUAUAUAGGUUUUAAAAUGGUGAUUCCGGGGAUGGAAUCUUUAUAAGGGAGGGUGAAUGUAACAACCCGAUAUUUUCUAUAUAAAUAUAUCAUAAAAUUUGCAUAUAAUUUUUUUUUAUUAUAAGGAUGAGGAUUUGUACAAGAUAAUGUGUGUAUGUAAUUAUGUAAUACAUAAAAAUAUAUUUAUUACAUGAAUGUUUACAAAUAAUUUUAUUUUAUUUUAGAAUUAUUGAUUAUUAUAAAUUAUAUUCUUAUAAUAAUUAAUUUUAUAGUAGAAAUAUUUUUAUUAAUUAUUUUUCAUGAAAAAUAUAAUUAUAUAUUAUUUAAAUAAUAUAUGAAAUGAUUUUUUUUGAAUAAUUAUAAUAAUUAUUUUAUUAUAUGAAUUUUGGUACAGAUUAUUAAGUUAAUUAUUUUACCUUAAUUAUUAAGGUUAAAUAUGAAAGAUAAAUAAGAUAUGGAAUUCAAAGCCUAAUUCUGGAUUUGGAAUAAGGAAAGAAGAUAAUAAUAUAAUAUUAAUUAUAUUUCAGUGUUAUAAGUAUGUAUGUUAUGUGUGUAAGGAUAAUGUGUGAAACAGUUUUAAGGUAGCAUGAAAAACCCUAAAUAAUAUUUAUAAACCAUAAUUUUCUAUACUAACCCUAAUUGUCAAGUGGGAAAACCCUAAUUUGAAACUCAAUUAUGAGUUAGAAACGGUUAUGUAGUUGUGCUAAAUGAAGUAUGUUACAUAUUAUAGAAUUUAAUGUUAAUUAGAGAAACCCUAAUUAAUAUUUAGAAAUUAUAAUUUCUAGAAACCCUAAUUUCUAAAUUAGUAACCUUAAUUUACUAAAAUGAAAUCCUAAUCAUUAAUUAAGCAAGCUUAAUGUUAAUUAGUGAUUUAGUAAAACAAAUUUCCAAGUUCAAGAACCUAAGCUAAUUAGAAACCCUAAUUUGGAAUUUAAGGAAACUAAUUUUUAUUUUAUUAUAAACCCUAAUUUGAUUAUGGUAAACCCUAAUCGCCAAAUUGAGAAGUUUAAUGCUAAUUAGUGUAUCUUAAACCUAAUUAGUAAGGUACUAAGUAAUUAAAAACCUAAUUGACUAAGAAACCCUAAUUACAUUUUUUUUUGAAACUAAAUUGUUAUUUAUUUUUAAAUCCUAAUUUUGAAAAUCCUAGACUUUUGCUAAAAUGGCUCAAACCCUAAACCCUAAACCAAACCCUAAACCCUAAGGGUUUGACAAGUUACCAUAAUACCAUUAAAUUGAAAAAUCAAAAGACCAAACUACCAUUUUUGUAUUAUUUAGUAAGUUGCUUACAAGACUAACCAAAACUUUAGUUGGUAAACCAACUUUUGACUUUCCCACAUGUUCAAUAACUCCAGCACUCAGCCUCAUUCAGCAGAUGCAUGCAUUACAACACAAUAUAUAUAGAUUCAAGAGAGAGAAAUGUCAUCUUUUAAGCUAUUUGAUCACCACACUCAUCCUAGAACUUCUCUCUCUAAAAACCCACGAAUUAUAUAUGUAUAUCAGUCCCAUAAUAAAGCCCCACGAAUUCCAUAACAGAUCUAGAAGCCCAGAAUCAUGAAUCAAAGCAUGAAGGUAUAAACCCUAGAAUUUAAAAUUUUUAUGAUCUGCAUAUUUGAUGUUAGGAUUGAGUGUUAAAAUAUGUUGUUUAAGGUGUAUAAUGAUGAUCUGGGUUGCUAGAUGUUAGAUCCAUAACAUCUAGAGGCUCAGAUUUGAAGAUUUUAAGAAUCUAGAAAUUUUUGUUUUUGUAUCUGACAGUCAAAUGUCAGUCCUCAUAGAUCUUUGUAUGUUAUGUGUUUUUGUUGUUUAAAGGUUUAAUCUUGUCGUAUGCUAUGAGCUCUUUAAUCUAGAACUUGAUUCAGAGUUAGAUCUGCUGUAGAUUGUAAGUUAUUCAUGGUCAAAGGUCGUUGACCGACCAUGACUUUCUAAAAUCUGGGUAACCCAGAAAGUUUUUAGCAGCGUCUGACAACUUUUUCUAAUGCCUUGAUCUGUCAGAUUAUAUGUGUAUUGUUAAUGUUGUUGUGAUAAGAUUGUAGUGUGAUAUCUGGACUAUAGAUCCAUGAUUUAAUAUGUCUUAUAUCGUUAGCCAGAUCGAUGUAGUAGAAGGUCAAACUGGGCAAAACGAUCACGAGGACGGGUUUCUGGAAUUCCCAGAAACCGUAAUAGCAUUGUUUCUGACAAUGUUUGACUUGCUUAUAUCUUGUGAUUUUGUUGUUAUUAGAAUGAUCUGAUGAUACGAAGUUGUUCCUUGACAUGUAUACUUCCAUUAUGAACCUUUAGAUCAUACAAAAAAUCCUUAGAAUCAAUGUUACGGAGCCUCAAAAGUGGUAGCAUGAACUGUUCUUCAAUUCUGGAAAACCCAGAAAUUGAAGAACAGCGUCUGACAGUUUUUCCAAGGCUUGGAUCUUACUUAUGUUAUGAUGUUUGGCCAUGUUUGUUAUUGAAUAGUGUAGUCUUGUUCGUAUACUACAAGAUCUGACCAAGAUCAAGCCCAGAAACCUCUUAGAUUAAAAGUAAUUCAUGGUCAAAAUAGGCACCUCUAUCACUGACUGUCAGUGUUCUUGAGCCUCAAGAACACCAACAGCGACAGAAAGCGUCGCUAAAGGCUACAGCGACGGUUUUAAAUUUUUUUUAUUUUUUUGAAAAUCCG
rnacentral:lncRNA from 1 species